UACGUAGGGUGCAAGCGUUAAUCGGAAUUACUGGGCGUAAAGCGUGCGCAGGCGGUUUUGUAAGCCAGAUGUGAAAUCCCCCGGGCUCAACCUGGGAAUGGCAUUUGGGACUGCAAGGCUAGAGUGUGGCAGAGGAGACUGGAAUUCCUGGUGUAGCAGUGAAAUUCGUAGAUAUUGGGAAGAACACCGGUGGCGAAGGCGGCGACCUGGUCCAUUACUGACGCUGAGGCGCGACAGCGUGGGGGAGCAAACAGG
rnacentral:rRNA from 1 species